UUUCACAAAAGUUGCAUUUUGGUUGCACAAAAUGCAACGGCAAUGAUUUGAGAUUCAUCCACUCUGACUCACUUUCAAACAGUAGUGUUUUUUGGCUGUGAAAAUGGCAGUUCCUUGUGGACAAAAUGCUGAUACAAUACCAAAACUUUUUUCGGAUACACCUAACCUUGCCUCUGUGCGAAUGGGCCCUCUCUGGAUCAUUCUUACUCAUGUUAGUGUCACUGGGUUUUUAACUGACACUCAAGUGACUGUUUUUUGUUGCCAAUAUCUGCAUGCGGGUGACAUGAGCUAACCUCAGUGCCACAAACAUUCACAGUUAAAAAAAAAAAAAAAAAGAAAAGAAAGUGAUGCUCAUCUAUGAAUGAUUCAGAUGUAGAUCCAGCAGCUGCCACCCUACUUCAGUUAGGAAAACACACGACUGCAUGUUUGUAUAAAGAAAGAAUCACCAUUUUCAGAUCUUUAAUUAGAAUUUUCACCCUCCUGCCUUUACUGAAAUAAUAGUUUUUGGUAUUAAAGCCCCCGGUGGCGGCUCUACAAAUGUACACCAGAACUGUCCUGCAAGACAUUUUGCAAAAAUACAAUAAGUUGCCACGUGCAUUGAAAAUUUUAUUGUAGUCUUUUUACGUUGAGGAUUCUUUAUUAAAGGAGUUAGAUUUGUACAGGUGCUGACUCUGCGGAGCGCCCUGCUCAUCUGUGGUGAAGUUAACUUUCUUUCCUCGUCUCUCUCCUUAAAACUCUGUACCUCGACUCCAUCUCUGUCAUUGCGCCCAUUGCACUUGGGUGCCUGUUGUGCCAGUAUUGUGCCGUUCCAUUUCCAAAGGGCUUUCCGUAUCAGGACUGUGGUACGUCCUUUCUGUCUCUUGUACUCUGGAGCUGUUGUAGCUGGAAAAGACAAAGGUGCUGCCGGAGAUGGUGGUCAUCACGAGCUCUCUCGGGUGUUGGUUCACGUCCUGCCCUCGAGGCUAUGAAAACGUAUCAAUCUGCACUGUGAUCCAUUGUCUAACUGAAUCCUUGUUUCUGAUUGGCCAAAAAUUGUUUUUCCAUUUGCUACCUCAGAGUGUGAUGCCAGAACUACCCUGUUUUACGGCCUCUUCUAAAAGUGCCCAAAGUCUGCAAGACUGAGUGUGGAAAUAACCAUAUCAUCAUGUUUACCAGGUCACUGGUCUGCUAAGAUGCAGUUCCAGUUCUAGUUAAGGUUUGGCAGUAACAUCUCUGGCGUGUCGGUGUGAAGUCGAGCCUACACCUCUCUGUCCCUGAAGUUUCAACAUGUGCUUGUCAUGCAUCUGUCACAUCCCCUCUGCAGUUGUAGAGUCAUAAAAAGCUACUUCAGGCUGUGGAGAUGAAGUUUUCAACUCUACCUGUAUCUGAACAUCGCCACACAAAACACCCAACAUAUUUCUUAUUACCUCACAUCCAACAGUCUCAGUGACGGUUUCUACCAAUUAAUGCAUGUCCAUACCAAAAAUUUAAAUCUGCAUUUACAAACCAUGUUUUUCAACCACACAUUUACACACAGAUGCACACAGUCAUUUUGUGGUAAAGAUAACAUCCUUAAAUAAAUUGACGUAUGAACAGACUGAUCAGUUCUCUGAGAUACUCAUUGUUUGUCUCUCACCACAGGACCUGCAACCAGAUGAUGGAGGCUGACACCCCACAUAGCUGAGCCAUGCUAAAAUGACAUACGUUGAAACACCAGAGCUGUGGAGAGACACAACCUGAAUGCGAAUGCCAGGUUGUCACUCAUUUCCGUUCCCUCCUCUUUCUGGCAGAGCAGCAGGACCUUCCACGAACUGCAGACCAUCCAGUAGAGGACAACCGUCCAUCAGCCUGAACCGUCGAAUAUUUUAUACUGACAAUAAAUCUUAUAAAAUGUCACAUUUGU